GUUUUUAUAGUUUAUAAUAAAACAUUGGUCUUGUAAAUCAAAAUAAAAUUUAAUAUUUUAAAAACU
rnacentral:tRNA from 1 species